rnacentral:rRNA from 1 species
CGCGGCCUAUCAGCUUGUUGGUGAGGUAACGGCUCACCAAGGCAACGACGGGUAGCUGGUCUGAGAGGACGAUCAGCCACACUGGGACUGAGACACGGCCCAGACUCCUACGGGAGGCAGCAGUAGGGAAUCUUGCGCAAUGGGCGAAGGCCUGACGCAGCAACGCCGCGUGCGGGAAGACGGCCCUCGGGUUGUAAACCGCUUUCAGCAGGGACGAAAUUGACGGUACCUGCAGAAGAAGGUCCGGCUAACUACGUGCCAGCAGCCGCGGUAAUACGUAGGGACCAAGCGUUGUCCGGAUUUAUUGGGCGUAAAGAGCUCGUAGGCGGUUUCGUAAGUCGGGUGUGAAAAAUCUGGGCUCAACCCAGUGGAGCACCCGAUACUGCGAUGACUGGAGUCCGGUAGAGGAGUGUGGAAUUUCUGGUGUAGCGGUGAAAUGCGCAGAUAUCAGAAGGAACACCGACAGCGAAGGCAGCACUCUGGGCCGGUACUGACGCUGAGGAGCGAAAGCAUGGGGAGCAAACAGGAUUAGAUACCCUGGUAGUCCAUGCCGUAAACGUUGGGCACUAGGUGUGGGAAGGAGUCAACCCUUUCCGUGCCGUAGCUAACGCAUUAAGUGCCCCGCCUGGGGAGUACGG